rnacentral:rRNA from 1 species
UACUAGAGUAGCACUCGCAUAUCAAUAAGCGGAGGAAAAGAAACUAACAAGGAUUCCCUUAGUAACGGCGAGUGAAGCGGGAAGAGCUCAAAUUUGAAAUCUUCAAGGUUCUACCUUGACGAAUUGUAGUUUAUAGAAGUGUUUUCUGUUAGUAGAGUGGCAAAAGUUCUUUGGAAUAGGACAUCAUAGAGGGUGAGAAUCCCGUAUUUGGUCAUUCUUUCUAGCUUUGUGAUACACUUUCAACGAGUCGGAUUGUUUGGGAAUGCAGUCCAAAAUGGGUGGUAAAUUUCAUCUAAAGCUAAAUAUUGGCGAGAGACCGAUAGCGAACAAGUACCGUGAGGGAAAGAUGAAAAGAACUUUGAAAAGAGAGUUAAACAGUACGUGAAAUUGUCAAAAGGGAAGCGUUUGACACCAGUGUUGUUUUUCCGAAAAUCAAUUACGAAUGUUUUGUUUUUAAGAAGUUAUGACUUCGAUCGGCUUGCUUCUCUCUUUACGAAACUUUCUUAAUGCACUUUUCGGUUAACAAGUCAACAUCAAUUUCUUUUGUUGUAAAAGGGUAUGAGGAAGGUGGCUUUCUUUUCGGAGAAAGUGUUUAUAGCCUUGUACCUCUGCAAUCGGAGAGAUUGAGGUCUGCAGCGUAGAUCCUUCGGGGUUAGAUACAUUUGUGCUAAGUUAUAGCUUUUCAUAGACAACUUGUUGACUAUGUUAAGUCUUGUAGCUUACUCGCUUAUGCUAUUUUACCUACGCUUAGGAUGUUGAAGAUGUAGCACAUCAU